rnacentral:rRNA from 1 species
GACGAACGCUGGCGGCGUGCUUAACACAUGCAAGUCGAACGGAAAGGCCCUGCUUUUGUGGGGUGCUCGAGUGGCGAACGGGUGAGUAACACGUGAGUAACCUGCCCUUGACUUUGGGAUAACUUCAGGAAACUGGGGCUAAUACCGGAUAGGAGCUCCUGCUGCAUGGUGGGGGUUGGACAGUUUCGGCGGUUGGGGAUGGACUGGCGGCUUAUCAGCUUGUGGGUGGGGUAGUGGCUUACCAAGGCUUUGACGGGUAGUCGGCCUGAGAGGGUGACCGGCCACCAUGGGACUGAGAUACGGCGCAGACGCCUACGGUAGGCAGCAGUGGGGAAUAUGGCACAAUGAGCGGAAGCCUGAUGCAGCAACGCCGCGUGCGGGAUGACGGCCUUCGGGGUGUAAACCGCUUUCGCCUGUGACGAAGCGUGAGUGACGGUAAUGGGUGAAGAAGCACCGGCUAACUACGUG